CCACAUUUUCCCAAUCCAGUCUAUCAUCGAUGGGCAUUUGGGUUGAUUCCAGGUCUUUGCUAUUGUAAACAGUGCUGCAAUAAACAUUCGUGUGCAUAUGUCCUUAUAGUAGAGUGAUUUAUAGUCCUUUGGGUAUCUACCCAGUAAUGGGAUUGCUGGGUCAAACGGAAUUUCUAUUUCUAAGGCCUUGAGGAAUCGCCACACUGUUUUCCACAAUGGUUGAACUCCCACCAACAGUGUAAAAGUGUUCCUUUUUCUCCACAUUCUCUCCAGCAUCUGUUGUCUCCAGAUUUUUUAAUGAUCGCCAUUCUAACUGGCAUGAGAUGGUAUCUCAAUGUGGUUUUGAUUUGCAUCUCUCUGAUGACCAGUGACGAUGAGCAUUUUUUCAUAUGAUUGUUGGCCUCAUAUAUGUCUUCUUUCGUAAAGUGUCUGUUCAUAUCUUUGAAUGGGCUUGUUUGUUUUUUUCCUGUAAAUCUGUUUGAGUUCUUUGUAAAUUCUGGAUAUCAGCCCUUUGUCAGAUGGGUAAACUGCAAACAUUUUUUCCCAUUCUGUUGGUUGCCGAUUCACUCUAGUGACUGUUUCUUUUGCUGUGCAGAAGCUGUGGAGUUUCAUUAGGUCCCAUUUGUCUAUUUUGGCUUUUGUUGCCAAUGCUUUUGGUGUUUUGUUCAUGAAGUCCUUGCCUACUCCUAUGUCCUGGAUAGUUUUGCCUAGAUUUCCUUCUAGGGUUUUUAUCGUGCUAGGUCUUAUGUUUAAGUCUUUAAUCCAUCUAGAGUUAAUUUUAGUGUAAGGUGUCAGGAAGGGGUCCAGUUUCUGCUUUCUGCACAUGGCUAGCCAGUUUUCCCAACACCAUUUGUUAAAUAGGGAAUCCUUUCCCCAUUGCUUUUUUUGUCAGGUUUAUCAAAGAUUGUAUAGUUGUAGAUAGGUUGUGUUGCCUCCGGUGCCUCUGUUUUGUUCCAUUGGUCUAUAUCUCUGUUUUGGUACCAGUACCAUGCUGUUUUGAUUACUGUAGACUUGUAGUAUAGUUUGAAAUCCGGUAGUGUGAUGCCCCCCACUGUGUUCUUUUUGCUUAGAAUUGAUUUGGCUAUGUGGGCUCUCUUUUGGUUCCAUAUGAAGUUCAUGGUGGUUUUUUCCAAUUCUGUGAAGAAAGUCAAUGGUAGCUUGAUGGGGAUAGCAUUGAUUCUGUAAAUUACUUUGGGCAGUAUAGCCAUUUUUACGAUAUUAAUUCUUCCUAACCAUGAACAUGGAAUGUUUCUCCAUCUGUUUGUGUCCUCUCUGAUUUCACUGAGCAGUGGUUUGUAGUUCUCCUUGAAGAGGUCCCUUACGUUCCUUGUGAGUUGUAUUCCAAGGUAUUUUAUUCUUUUUGUAGCAAUUGUGAAUGGCAGUUGUUCUUUAUUUGGCUUUCUUUAAGUCUGUUAUUGGUGUAGACGAAUGCUUGUGACUUUUGCACAUUGAUUUUAUAUCCUGAGACUUUGCUGAAGUUGCUUACCAGUUUCAGGAGUUUUUGGGCUGAGGUGAUGGGGUCUUCUAGGUAUACUAUCAUGUCGUCUGCAAAUAGAGACAAUUUGGCUUCCACCUUUCCUAUUUGAAUACUCUUUAUUUCUUUUUCUAGCCUGAUUGCUC
rnacentral:lncRNA from 1 species